UACGUAGGGUGCAGGCGUUAAUCGGAAUUACUGGGCGUAAAGCGUGCGCAGGCGGUCCGCAAAGUCUGAUGUGAAAGCCCCGGGCUCAACCUGGGAACUGCAUUGGAAACUAACGGGCUCGAGUGUGGCAGAGGGGGGUGGAAUUCCACGUGUAGCAGUGAAAUGCGUAGAGAUGUGGAGGAACACCGAUGGCGAAGGCAGCCCCCUGGGCUAACACUGACGCUCAGGCACGAAAGCGUGGGGAGCAAACAGG
rnacentral:rRNA from 1 species